GACGAACGCUGGCGGCGUGCUUAACACAUGCAAGUCGAACGGAAAGGCCCUGCUUUUGUGGGGUGCUCGAGUGGCGAACGGGUGAGUAACACGUGAGUAACCUGCCCUUGACUUUGGGAUAACUUCAGGAAACUGGGGCUAAUACCGGAUAGGAGCUCCUGCUGCAUGGUGGGGGUUGGAAAGUUUCGGCGGUUGGGGAUGGACUCGCGGCUUAUCAGCUUGUUGGUGGGGUAGUGGCUUACCAAGGCUUUGACGGGUAGCCGGCCUGAGAGGGUGGCCGGCCACAUUGGGAUUGAGAUACGGCCCAGACUCCUACGGGAGGCAGCAGUGGGGAAUAUUGCACAAUGGGCGGAAGCCUGAUGCAGCAACGCCGCGUGCGGGAUGACGGCCUUCGGGUUGUAAACCGCUUUCGCCUGUGACGAAGCGUGAGUGACGGUAAUGGGUAAAGAAGCACCGGCUAACUACGUGCCAGCAGCCGCGGUGAUACGUAGGGUGCGAGCGUUGUCCGGAUUUAUUGGGCGUAAAGGGCUCGUAGGUGGUUGAUCGCGUCGGAAGUGUAAUCUUGGGGCUUAACCCUGAGCGUGCUUUCGAUACGGGUUGACUUGAGGAAGGUAGGGGAGAAUGGAAUUCCUGGUGGAGCGGUGGAAUGCGCAGAUAUCAGGAGGAACACCAGUGGCGAAGGCGGUCCUCUGGGCCUUUCCUGACGCUGAGGAGCGAAAGCGUGGGGAGCGAACAGGCUUAGAUACCCUGGUAGUCCACGCUGUAAACGGUGGGUACUAGGUGUGGGGUCCAUUCCACGGGUUCCGUGCCGUAGCUAACGCUUUAAGUACCCCGCCUGGGGAGUACGGCCGCAAGGCUAAAACUCAAAGGAAUUGACGGAGCCCCGCACAAGCGGCGGAGCAUGCGGAUUAAUUCGAUGCAACGCGUAGAACCUUACCUGGGUUUGACAUGGAUCGGGAGCGCUCAGAGAUGGGUGUGCCUCUUUUGGGGUCGGUUCACAGGUGGUGCAUGGCUGUCGUCAGCUCGUGUCGUGAGAUGUUGGGUUAAGUCCCGCAACGAGCGCAACCCUUGUUCACUGUUGCCAGCACGUUAUGGUGGGGACUCAGUGGAGACCGCCGGGGUCAACUCGGAGGAAGGUGGGGAUGACGUCAAGUCAUCAUGCCCCUUAUGUCCAGGGCUUCACGCAUGCUACAAUGGCUGGUACAGAGAGUGGCGAGCCUGUGAGGGUGAGCGAAUCUCGGAAAGCCGGUCUCAGUUCGGAUUGGGGUCUGCAACUCGACCUCAUGAAGUCGGAGUCGCUAGUAAUCGCAGAUCAGCAACGCUGCAGUGAAUACGUUCCCGGG
rnacentral:rRNA from 1 species